rnacentral:rRNA from 1 species
AUUGAACGCUGGCGGCAGGCUUAACACAUGCAAGUCGAGCGGGGUGAGGUGCUUCGGUACUGAUCCUAGCGGCGGACGGGUGAGUAAUGCUUAGGAAUCUGCCUAUUAGUGGGGGACAACAUUCCGAAAGGAAUGCUAAUACCGCAUACGUCCUACGGGAGAAAGCAGGGGAUCUUCGGACCUUGCGCUAAUAGAUGAGCCUAAGUCGGAUUAGCUAGUUGGUGGGGUAAAGGCCUACCAAGGCGACGAUCUGUAGCGGGUCUGAGCGGAUGAUCCGCCACACUGGGACUGAGACACGGCCCAGACUCCUACGGGAGGCAGCAGUGGGGAAUAUUGGACAAUGGGCGGAAGCCUGAUCCAGCCAUGCCGCGUGUGUGAAGAAGGCCUUUUGGUUGUAAAGCACUUUAAGCGAGGAGGAGGCUACCUAGAUUAAUACUCUGGGAUAGUGGACGUUACUCGCAGAAUAAGCACCGGCUAACUCUGUGCCAGCCGCCGCAGUAAAAC